GAUGAACGCUAGCGGCAGGCCUAACACAUGCAAGUCGAGGGGUAGAGGAGGCUUGCUUCCUUGAGACCGGCGCACGGGUGCGUAACGCGUAUGCAAUCUACCUUGUACAGAGGGAUAGCCCAGAGAAAUUUGGAUUAAUACCUCAUAGUAUAAUUGAAUCGCAUGAUUUAAUUAUUAAAGUUCCAACGGUACAAGAUGAGCAUGCGUCCCAUUAGCUAGUUGGUAUGGUAACGGCAUACCAAGGCAAUGAUGGGUAGGGGUCCUGAGAGGGAGAUCCCCCCACACUGGUACUGAGACACGGACCAGACUCCUACGGGAGGCAGCAGUGAGGAAUAUUGGACAAUGGGGGCAACCCUGAUCCAGCCAUGCCGCGUGCAGGAAGACGGUCCUAUGGAUUGUAACUGCUUUUAUACAGGAAGAACGCAAUUACGUGUAAUUGUUGACGGUACUGUAAGAAUAAGGAUCGGCUAACUCCGUGCCAGCAG
rnacentral:rRNA from 1 species